rnacentral:rRNA from 1 species
GAUGAACGCUGGCGGCGUGCCUAAUACAUGCAAGUCGAGCGAACGGACGAGAAGCUUGCUUCUCUGAUGUUAGCGACGGACGGGUGAGUAACACGUGGAUAACCUACCUAUAAGACUGGGAUAACUUCGGGAAACCGGAGCUAAUACCGGAUAAUAUUUUGAACCGCAUGGUUCAAAAGUGAGAGACGGUCUUGCUGUCACUUAUAGAUGGAUCCGCGCUGCAUUAGCUAGUUGGUAAGGUAACGGCUUACCAAGGCAACGAUGCAUAGCCGACCUGAGAGGGUGAUCGGCCACACUGGAACUGAGACACGGUCCAGACUCCUACGGGAGGCAGCAGUAGGGAAUCUUCCGCAAUGGGCGAAAGCCUGACGGAGCAACGCCGCGUGAGUGAUGAAGGUCUUCGGAUCGUAAAACUCUGUUAUUAGGGAAGAACAUAUGUGUAAGUAACUGUGCACAUCUUGACGGUACCUAAUCAGAAAGCCACGGCUAACUACGUG